rnacentral:rRNA from 1 species
AUCCUACGGGGGGCAGCAGUGAGGAAUAUUGGUCAAUGGUCGGGAGACUGAACCAGCCAAGCCGCGUGAGGGAGGAAGGUACAGAGUAUCGUAAACCUCUUUUGUCAGGGAACAAAGACUGGGACGCGUCCCCGGAUGAGUGUACCUGAAGAAAAAGCAUCGGCUAACUCCGUGCCAGCAGCCGCGGUAAUACGGAGGAUGCGAGCGUUAUCCGGAUUUAUUGGGUUUAAAGGGUGCGCAGGCGGUCUGUUAAGUCUGAUGUGAAAGCCUUCGGCUUAACCGGAGUAGUGCAUUGGAAACUGGGG